rnacentral:lncRNA from 1 species
UGUAGAAGCCCGGAUGGAGAUCAUUUGUCGAGGAAUCUCGAUCGAAGCCUGCCUGCAAUAGAAAUUCGAAAGGAAUUCAUCCACAAUGGAAGCUCGGGUGAAGGCUUACAGCGGGAAUCCAGUGCGGACCACUCGUAGUAGAAAUUUAAAGUAGAUCGUUUGUAGCAGAAGCUUGGAGUGAAUCGCUUGCAGUAGAAGCUCGGAGUCC